UGAAAAGCUGAGAAAACUGCUUGGUGAGGAGUCCUGGAGAUCCUGGUGACCAGGCCAACUGAACUCUGUUCUGCUCAGCCCACUGUCUGUGCUCCCUGGAAAGGAGAAUCUUGAAGCAGAACCCAUUCUCAAUCAGAGGACAUGAUGCAGAGGACAGAGGGCUGAUGGGGAGUUGGACAAAGAGUGGCAGAGGAAAGCAGCGAGCCACCAAGUGGGGAGCAGGAAGAACUGCAAAAUUUCAUUGUCUUGCUAAUGAGGACUCCUACAGUUUGCAAGCUGCCUGUCUAUACUGUUGCAUCUCAAGCACCUACCUUGGAGUAAAAGUAUCGGCACACGGCCUCCUGAGCCCAAGGCUGGAAAUAGAACUCAGCUCGGCGCUCCUCCUCUGGGUUACCCACCACAUCAGUCAUGGUCUGAGAGAAAGGCAGGGGAAAGGAGAGAAGAGACUUGCUUUCUGCCUUUACACCUCCUACUGGUCCAACUGUAUCCCCCCAAAAGAUGCUGAAAUCCUAAUCCCCCAGUACCUGUGAAUGUGACCUCGUUUGGAAAUAGGGUCUCUGCAGAUGAUAAAGUUAAGAUGAGGUCAUUAGGUUGGCCCUAAUCCAAUAUGACUGGUAUCUUUACAAAGGGGAAAUUUGGACAUAGAGACAAAACAGGUACAGAAGGAAGAUGAUGUGAAGACACACAGAGAAAACCAGCUAUAACCCCAGGGAUGCCUGAGGCCACCAGAAACUAGGAGAGAGGCCUGAAACACAUUCUCCUUACGGCCCUCAGAGGAACCAACCUUCUUGAUCUUGAUCUCAGACUUUCAGCCUCCACAACUGUGAGUUUUCUGUUGUUUAAGCACCCAGUUUGUGUUAGUUUGCUGUUGUAGUCCCAGUGAACUAAUGUAAAACCUAGUAGCCUCCUGUUAUCCACAAGUCAUUGCCUUGUCUAGAAACCUGCCUGGUGCUCUUUCCCCCUGCUCCUCUGUGCAUCCUUCCUAACUGCAGUCACAGCAGUGGCAGGCUGGGUGAAAACUUAGGUGGAUUUCACACAUUCUAUGUCCGUGCGUAUCUUCUUGCCUUAGUGUUCUCCUCUCUGAGAAAUAUCUUCAAGUCCCAAAUUUUCCAUGAAGCCUUACCCAGUGACUCUAGCCUUAUUUUGAAUUAUUUUACUGGUGAGUUCUGAUAAUGUACUAUAUGGCAUACUAUUUUUAAUCAUAUUAGCUUUGUUUUUCCAAAUAAAAUGGAUGUUGCAGAAAUCAGGUCUUCCAUUUUGCAUCCCUGACAAUAUGAAGCACAAUGACAGCACUGAAUAAAUAGUAACUUGACACUCAAUGUCCCAACUCAACUGAAAAUGGGAUAUAUUGAAGAAAAAUUGGCUCCUCAAUUCUCCCUGAUCCUUUACUAAG